rnacentral:rRNA from 1 species
UACCCAGCACCCCCGAGUGGUCGGGACGUUUAUUGGGCCUAAAGCAUCCGUAGCCGGUUCUACAAGUCUUCCGUUAAAUCCCACCUGCUUAACAGAUGGGCUGCGGAAGAUACUAUGGAGCUAGGAGGCGGGAGAGGCAAGCGGUACUCGAUGGGUAGGGGUAAAAUCCGUUGAUCCAUUGAAGACCACCAGUGGCGAAGGCGGCUUGCCAGAACGCGCUCGACGGUGAGGGA